AACGAACGCUGGCGGCAUGCCUAACACAUGCAAGUCGAACGAAACCGUCGUGUCUAGUUGCGCAGCUGUGCGUACCGCGUGGGAACCUGCCCGUAAGUUCCGAAUAACUCCCCUAAAGGUGUGCUAAUACCGGUUAAGCUCUUCCCACCAAAGAUUUAUCGCCUUUGGAUGGGCCUGCGUUGGAUUAGCUAGUUGGUAGGGGAAAAGCCUACCAAGGCGGCGAUCCAUAGCUGGUCGGAGAGGAUGACAAGCCAGACUGGGAAUGAGACACGGACCAGAAUCGGAGGGGAGGGAGGAGAGGGGAAUAUUGGAGGAUGGGGGAAAGCGUGAUAAAGCCAUGCCGGGUGAGUGAGGAAGGGGUUAGGGUUGUGAAGCUCUUUUAGACGGGAUGAUAAUGACAGUAACGGGAGAAUAAGCACCGGCUAACUACGUG
rnacentral:rRNA from 1 species